rnacentral:tRNA from 1 species
AUUUUCUUAAUAUAACAAGUAUAUUUAACUUCCAAUUAAAAAGUUUGAAAUUACAAAGAGAAUA